rnacentral:rRNA from 1 species
CGCGGCCUAUCAGCUUGUUGGUGGGGUAAUGGCCUACCAAGGCUUUGACGGGUAGCCGGCCUGAGAGGGUGACCGGCCACACUGGGACUGAGACACGGCCCAGACUCCUACGGGAGGCAGCAGUGGGGAAUAUUGGACAAUGGGCGGGAGCCUGAUCCAGCAACGCCGCGUGAGGGAUGACGGCCUUCGGGUUGUAAACCUCUUUCAGCACAGACGAAGCGCCCUGUCGGGUGGUGACGGUAUGUGCAGAAGAAGCACCGGCCAACUACGUGCCAGCAGCCGCGGUAAUACGUAGGGUGCGAGCGUUGUCCGGAAUUAUUGGGCGUAAAGGGCUCGUAGGCGGUUUGUCGCGUCGGGAGUGAAAUCCACUGGCUUAACUGGUGGCUUGCUUUCGAUACGGGCAGACUGGAGGCAUGCAGGGGAGAACGGAAUUCCUGGUGUAGCGGUGAAAUGCGCAGAUAUCAGGAGGAACACCGGUGGCGAAGGCGGUUCUCUGGGCAUGUCCUGACGCUGAGGAGCGAAAGUGUGGGGAGCGAACAGGAUUAGAUACCCUGGUAGUCCACACCGUAAACGUUGGGCGCUAGGUGUGGGAUCCAUUCCACGGGUUCCGUGCCGCAGCUAACGCAUUAAGCGCCCCGCCUGGGGAGUACGG